rnacentral:pre_miRNA from 1 species
UCUUCAUUUCUCGUACUCUCUCACCGGUCAGAGUGACGAGAGUGUACGUGAAAUGGGGAGA